GUCACUGACAAAUACUGACUAAUUGAGGAACUUAUACUGCCUUGGGCUUCUGACUUUUUCCAAACAUUUAACAGUUAUGAAAUCAAUGGAUAUACUGAGGUAAUCAAAGAUACAGUAGCCCCGUCUGCCUACCUGGGGUCUGAUAGUUGAGCGAGACCAUCUGGCAUCCAGCGUUCCAGAAAAUUUGAGGCAUGUAAUUGCUAGAAUCCACUCUUCCUCCCUUCGGAAUCGUCCACAGCCUAAGGAAAAAAUACAUAUAUUAUCCAAAGAAGUUGCAGUAUGACACUCAUAUCUCAAAGGCAGAGAAAGCAGGACGCAAGAGAAA